rnacentral:sRNA from 1 species
CUUUCCUGGAGGCGGGCGGCGGGAUGCUGCUCCGUUCUCCGGGUCCUCUCCGCCGGUUCUUGUCGUUUGGUCACGCCCUCAGUUCAGUCGGUUAUUGGAGAACGAUCAGGGCCCAAAGAUGGUUUACGUAGAGUUGUGGAUGUUAUCACCGUUGUUUGGUGACCGAGCCUGGAGCUUGAGCCCUGGGAGGUCUUGCCAGCCGCAUGUGGUCCCGUGCCCACCUCUCGAGGUGGCGCGUUAAUCCACCUAGACUGUGCAUUGUUGGUCCAGUCUGGGCUGACCCCGACCCGAAGUAGCCCUUUCCUUCGCGUCCUGAACUUCGCUUCUCCGUUGGUGUCUGGUCUCUUCCCGCCGGCGGGCUCUGCGGUGCAGGGAGGAGCUGUACUACUCGUGCCUUAGCGCACCCUUCCUUUCCCAGGCCAGAAACGCGAAAUGCUGUCGGCCUUCCAGAGGCUGUUCCGAGUCUUAUUUGUGAUUGAAACAGUCUCGGAAUGCGGAGUCCUGAUCUUCAUUUAUGGAUGACCCUUUCUCCAGAUCCUUGCUAUGCUCCUGAUCGGGACAGUGUCUUUCCACCUUCGGAUCCGCAGAAAUCGAGGUGACCAGCCACCAAGCAAAGCACUGAUGGUUUCAGAAUGUGCCUAAACCUGCACCAGUGAGGCAAGUAUGCAAAAGGAGUCCCUUUCCGGGAUGGACACAGUUCCCAUAGAGCCGUGUCACCCUGCACAGGGUUGCAACCAGGCUGGGUGCCAUUGCCUGCAAACAGACUGGGAUCUGUUUUUGUUUUUUUGUUGUUUUGUUUUUAAGACAGAGUUUUGCUCUUGUUGCCCAGGCUGGAGUGUAGUGGUGCGAUCUUGGCUGACCACAACCUUCGCCUCCUGGGUUCAAGUGAUUCUCCUGCCUCAGCCUCCCGAGUAGUUGGGAUUAUAGGUAUGUGCCACCAUGCCCAGCUUUUUGUAUUUUUAGUAGGGACGGGGUUUCUCCAUGUUGGUCAGGCUGGUCUCGAAUUCCCAACCUCAGGUGAUCUGCCCGCCUGGGCCUCCCAAAGUGCUGGGAUUACAGGCAUGAGCCACCGCACUCGGCCUCAGACUGGGAUCUGAAAUUAGAGAGAAUCCCUUGUGGACUGGGGACAGGACAAGACUGCUCUAGAUUGGCCCAUGGUGCCAGGUUAGUUCCUUCUGUAAGCCCCACCUCCUUCAGGGGCACCCGCUAAUUGGCUCCCUCAGAUCCUGGCUAGCCAGUACAAGGCCUCAGCAGUGCAUAGAUCCCAUCUCCAGCCAGUCCAGGUGGUGCUCGCAUGGUUAGGGUACAUGAACCUGGGUUGGAAUACAGGCCUUCUUUGCUCCAGUUGUUUCCCAAUAAUAAAUGUUAUAAAAUUACCAAAGGCACUGUAUUAGUCUGUUAUGCUGCUACACGAGACUGGGUACUUUACAAAGAAAAGAGGUUUAAUUGACUCACAGUUCCACAUUGCUGGGGAGACCUCAGGAAACUUACAAUCAUGGCGGAACGCACCUUUUCACAGGGUGGUAGGAGAAUGAAUGAGCGCCAGUAGGGGAAAUGCCAGAUGCUUAUAAAACCAUCAGAUGUCGUGAGAGUCACUCAUCACAAGAACAGCAUGGGGGAAACCGCCCCCAUGAUCCAAUUAUUUCCACCUGGUCUUGCCCUUUACAUGUGGGGAUUAUUACAAUUCAAGGUGAGAUUUGGGUGGGAACACAGAGCCAAACCAUAUAAGGCACACUGCUCACCAACAUUAGGUAGAGUUCAUAGAUUCCUUUUUCUCAGUAAUGGAUGCAUUAGAAUGAGGAUGAUUGCUGCAAUGCUAACCAGCUAAUAAAUAGAAGUGGACUGGGAUGAGAGUCCAGGCAAUCGCCUAAUGAGCCCCGCUAUACAUAUUUGCAAAAAUGUAGAAUGAUGCCAUUCUUUUUUGUUUUGGCAAAUAGUUAUUUUUCAUUAAAAAUGUAAUGUUAUGUUAAUAUUGGAUAAAAAUUGAUUUAAUAAAAAUGUUAUAAC